GUGUCUUUUUUUAAGGCUGAUGCAGUGCUCUCAGAAGUUAACAUGGAAGGGUAAAAUAAGUAUCUCUAACACACAGAGAAGAGAUUGUCAGAUUCUUCUGUGGAUCUUGUUUAGAUACAUAGCU
rfam:Cavia porcellus supercont2_22 genomic scaffold, whole genome shotgun sequence.